CAAGCGGUGGAGCAUGUGGUUUAAUUCGAUGCAACGCGAAGAACCUUACCUGGUCUUGACAUCCACAGAACUUUCCAGAGAUGGAUUGGUGCCUUCGGGAACUGUGAGACAGGUGCUGCAUGGCUGUCGUCAGCUCGUGUUGUGAAAUGUUGGGUUAAGUCCCGCAACGAGCGCAACCCUUAUCCUUUGUUGCCAGCGGUUAGGCCGGGAACUCAAAGGAGACUGCCAGUGAUAAACUGGAGGAAGGUGGGGAUGACGUCAAGUCAUCAUGGCCCUUACGACCAGGGCUACACACGUGCUACAAUGGCAUAUACAAAGAGAAGCGACCUCGCGAGAGCAAGCGGACCUCAUAAAGUAUGUCGUAGUCCGGAUUGGAGUCUGCAACUCGACUCCAUGAAGUCGGAAUCGCUAGUAAUCGUAGAUCAGAAUGCUACGGUGAAUACGUUCCCGGGCCUUGUACAC
rnacentral:rRNA from 1 species